AAAAACAUUUCUUUUUGUAUUUAUAAGAAGUGUAUGCCCUGCCCGGUGAUAAAUUAACGGCGGCCUUAACUUGAGGGUCCAAAGGUAGCAUAAUAAUUCGAUCUUUAAUUGAGGUCUAGUAUGAAAGGGUAUACAUUAAACACGCUGUCUCAAAAAAAUAAAUUGAAAUUAAUUUUAAAGUGAAGAAGCUUUAAUAGUUAAGAAAGACGACAAGACCCUAGAAGCUUUAAUUUUUAUUUGUAAUGUUUUAUAAAAAUAAUUUUGUUGGGGCAACAAGGUAAGAACAUAUUACCUUUUAUAUUUUUACUUACUAGUUUUAUCUUUUUUAUUGAAUUUGAUAAGCUACUCUAGGGAUAACAGCGCAAUCUUUUCUGAUAGUUGGUAUUGACUAAAAGGUUUGCGACCUCGAUGUUGGCUUUAGGUGACCUAAAAGUGUAGAAGCAUUUAUGAGUGGAUCUGUUCGAUCUUUAAAUCCUAACGUGAUCUGA
rnacentral:rRNA from 1 species